AUCACAAGGGGAUUACAAGUUUGACGCGUAACAAGCUAGGUGGAAGCUUGAUGAGGGAGCGGGUCAAACGAAUCAAGAAGGAAAGGAAAAAGCAUAGUUCGGACACGAGGAAAUAAAUAGCACAUGGAUGCUUACAUCGCUAUCGCUUAGCAGCCACUAAGGAAAUGUAUUAAAACGAGUCAAUAUAUUGAUCCGAGCCAGGUAUGUAUAAUAAUACAACUCAUCAUGUAGAGCUUGGAGUUUUAUAAUAGUUAGACGAGGUUAAAAUAAGAUAUCCGGUUAUCUUUUAGGUAAACCGAAUAAGUUGAGUUAUGAUUAAGGUGUUUUAGAAACAUAUUGGUUUCUAAACAAGAAUAUGGUUAAAAGGUCGGAUUUGGGGUUCAAACAAGCACUAAUAGUCCUUCGUCGUAAAAGAAUGACAAAAAUUGACUAAAACGCCCUAGUUGGCUAAUUCAAAUAAACAACCUUUAAAGGUAGUUUUGAAACGAGUUUUACGAUCAAGUAAGUAAUUGAAAUAAGUAUUAAGUCGCAAAGGAUGUAAACCUUUGGUCAAAUGACUCCAUACGAGUCUUUGUCGUGAAUU